CCUGAUAGCACCGGUUCCCAUCCCGAACACCGAAGUAAAGCAGG
rnacentral:rRNA from 1 species